GACGAACGCUGGCGGCGUGCUUAACACAUGCAAGUCGAACGGAAAGGCCCUGCUUUUGUGGGGUGCUCGAGUGGCGAACGGGUGAGUAACACGUGAGUAACCUGCCCUUGACUUUGGGAUAACUUCAGGAAACUGGGGCUAAUACCGGAUAGGAGCUCCUGCUGCAUGGUGGGGGUUGGAAAGUUUCGGCGGUUGGGGAUGGACUCGCGGCUUAUCAGCUUGUUGGUGGGGUAGUGGCUUACCAAGGCUUUGACGGGUAGCCGGCCUGAGAGGGUGACCGGCCACAUUGGGACUGAGAUACGGCCCAGACUCCUACGGGAGGCAGCAGUGGGGAAUAUUGCACAAUGGGCGGAAGCCUGAUGCAGCAACGCCGCGUGCGGGAUGACGGCCUUCGGGUUGUAAACCGCUUUCGCCUGUGACGAAGCGUGAGUGACGGUAAUGGGUAAAGAAGCACCGGCUAACUACGUGCCAGCAGCCGCGGUGAUACGUAGGGUGCGAGCGUUGUCCGGAUUUAUUGGGCGUAAAGGGCUCGUAGGUGGUUGAUCGCGUCGGAAGUGUAAUCUUGGGGCUUAACCCUGAGCGUGCUUUCGAUACGGGUUGACUUGAGGAAGGUAGGGGAGAAUGGAAUUCCUGGUGGAGCGGUGGAAUGCGCAGAUAUCAGGAGGAACACCAGUGGCGAAGGCGGUUCCCUGGGCCUUUCCUGACGCUGAGGAGCGAAAGCGUGGGGAGCGAACAGGCUUAGAUACCCUAGUAGUCCACGCUGUAAACGGUGGGUACUAGGUGUGGGGUCCAUUCCACGGGUUCCGUGCCGUAGCUAACGCUUUAAGUACCCCGCCUGGGGAGUACGGCCGCAAGGCUAAAACUCAAAGGAAUUGACGGGGCCCCGCACAAGCGGCGGAGCAUGCGGAUUAAUUCGAUGCAACGCGUAGAACCUUACCUGGGUUUGACAUGGAUCGGGAGUGCUCAGAGAUGGGUGUGCCUCUUUUGGGGUCGGUUCACAGGUGGUGCAUGGCUGUCGUCAGCUCGUGUCGUGAGAUGUUGGGUUAAGUCCCGCAACGAGCGCAACCCUUGUUCACUGUUGCCAGCACGUUAUGGUGGGGACUCAGUGGAGACCGCCGGGGUCAACUCGGAGGAAGGUGGGGAUGACGUCAAGUCAUCAUGCCCCUUAUGUCCAGGGCUUCACGCAUGCUACAAUGGCUGGUACAGAGAGUGGCGAGCCUGUGAGGGUGAGCGAAUCUCGGAAAGCCGGUCUCAGUUCGGAUUGGGGUCUGCAACUCGACCUCAUGAAGUCGGAGUCGCUAGUAAUCGCAGAUCAGCAACGCUGCGGUGAAUACGUUCCCGGGGCU
rnacentral:rRNA from 1 species